rnacentral:rRNA from 1 species
UACGUAGGGGGCAAGCGUUGUCCGGAAUUAUUGGGCGUAAAGCGCGCGCAGGCGGUACAUGAAGUUGGGUGUUUAAGCCCGGGGCUCAACCCCGGUUCGCAUCCAAAACUGGUGAACUUGAGUGUAGGAGAGGAAAGUGGAAUUCCACGUGUAGCGGUGAAAUGCGUAGAGAUGUGGAGGAACACCAGUGGCGAAGGCGAACUUUCUGGCCUAUAACUGACGACUGAGG